rnacentral:rRNA from 1 species
GAAAGAUUCAUCGGAAGAGGAUGCCCACGCGGCGCAUUAGCUAGACGGCGGGGUAACGGCCCACCGUGGCGACGAUGCGUAGGGGUUCUGAGAGGAAGGUCCCCCACACUGGUACUGAGACACGGACCAGACUCCUACGGGAGGCAGCAGUGAGGAAUAUUGGUCAAUGGGAGAGAUCCUGAACCAGCCAAGCCGCGUGAGGGAAGACGGCCCUAUGGGUUGUAAACCUCUUUUGUCGGAGAACAAAACCCGGGACGUGUCCCGGACUGCGUGUAUCCGAAGAAAAAGCAUCGGCUAACUCCGUGCCAGCAGCCGCGGUAAUACGGAGGAUGCGAGCGUUAUCCGGAUUUAUUGGGUUUAAAGGGUGCGUAGGCGGUCCGUUAAGUCAGCGGUAAAAUUGCGGGGCUCAACCCCGUCGAGCCGUUGAAACUGGCAGACUUGAGUUGGCGAGAAGUACGCGGAAUGCGCGGUGUAGCGGUGAAAUGCAUAGAUAUCGCGCAGAACUCCGAUUGCGAAGGCAGCGUACCGGCGCCAGACUGACGCUGAGGCACGAAAGCGUGGGGAUCGAACAGGAUUAGAUACCCUGGUAGUCCACGCAGUAAACGAUGAAUGCUGGUUGUCCGGGUCGAAUGAGACCUGG